CUCACUAAAUAUUGCCUAAGUGGUGAACAGAUAAAUGCACUCUUCUCAUUUACAUUUUACUCAUCCUUCAAGUUCAAGGUUGAGUUCUCUUCCUUUAGGCGUCCUCCUUGGCAGCCCAGGCUCAGCCCAUCUCUUCCUCUCUCCCUUCAUGGCAGUUCACUGGGCAUCACACUUGGCAGCCUUUGGUUCUCCAGAGCACUUUCCACCAUCCCGCUUGUCACCACCUUCUUUCCGUGUUGAUGUUGUUCACGGACUGUCUCCCUCAGUAGAAUGUGAGCUCCUUACCAUGGUUUGUCCAGUACCUAGGACAGUGCCUGUCAGGUGCUCAGUAAUUGUUUAUUGAUUAAUGAAUGAAUGAAUGAACGAAUGAAUGAAUCCUUUCUAUUAUUGCAACCUGUUGUUUUCAUCAUUUAACCUUUCUCUGUGUAUGCUUUAUCUCCCAAACUACAGACUAAGUUUUUUUAAAGUUACCUCUCUGAUCAGCAUUUCAGGAUUACUAUGAAGAUCAAAUUAAAUUACAUGUGGCAGUGUCUAGCUUGGAGUUUGGUGUAUAUUGAUGUCAAUUGCAUAUUCCUAAUUCAUACUUUCUUCUCUCCGUUUCAUAAAUAUUUGUUUUCCAGGUAUCACAGAAAGAAUUGAAAGGCAAGGUUGUCAGACAGAUAUGGCAGCUAAGACACCAACUGAGGAAUGUUAUCAAUGUAGCUCCGUGAAAUUGCCAUAUUUUACAUCCUGCAGUUCUGCAGUCAAGUGGUGGUAUUUUUGUCACAGCCCACAUCAAAGCCCAGAUGGCAUGAGGGAGGGAUGGAAAUGGGGCUCCAUAACCCUCAGGAACUCUGAAGAUUUCAUCUCCUAAGUGGAGCCAGAAUCCAGACGCUGGGAAAUGUGAAUGUUCCAAUAUGGCUGACCAUCAUGGAAUGGGAUCAACAGAUGGAAAUAGGAGGCUUCAUCUUCUUCAUCUUGGUCCUGAGGCUCCAUCAGCCAGGUUUCCAGCACACAUUAAACCCAGGGCUAGAGUCUUUAUCAAAAGAAGACAUUUGGACACAGACACAUACACAGAGAGGACACUGUGUGAAGACGAAGACAGAGAUUGGAGUGAUGCAUCUGCCAGCUGGGGAAUACUGAAGUCUGCCAGCAGCCACCAGCAGCCAGGAGAGGGACAGGGUGCAAAUUCUCCUUCACAGCCCUCAGAAGGAACCAACCCUGCUGACACCUUCGUCUUGGACUUUCAACAAUAUGAUUCUGUUGUGGGCUCUGUGAGGAGCAAAGGAAAGCACACCACAAGAGCCAGAGGGAGAGAGCUUGGCAGAACUCUGGAGGGAGCCUUUCCAAGACCUGCUUUUAGUGGAAGCUACAAAACCUCCUGGGAGGAGACUGAAUUCCAUGUUGGUGUUGCACUAUUGCUUUAAAGUGCCACCCUUUCCCUGGGACCAGCAGACAAUUGUACCCAUUAUUUUCUGGUUCUAAGGAAGGAUAAACUUCCUUCUAAGGCUUCAGGGAUGACAGAUGCCUUCUUGGAGGCUGAGAAGUCCAAGGUCGAGGGCCUGCAUCUGGUGAUGGCCUUCUUACUGGUGGGGACUCUGAAGCAUCCUGAGGUAGGCAGGGCAUCACAUGGUUGGAGCAGAAGGAACAGCCAGGGAAAUGCAUCCAUUUAACCUUCCAGACUCUGGAGUCCACCUUCUUUGUUUUAAGUAAAUUUUAGAUGCAGAGGCCAUGAACUCAGCUUAUAAUCAGCCUUAUUGCUCAUUCACUUAUUCCAUAUUCAAGAUAUUUAAUGCUCAUAUUGCUCUGACAACAUGCCAAGGAUCUUCAGCUGACACCUCCCUGCAUACUCUACUGGGUGAUAUCUCUUCUGAUUUGUUUUUGUGACUGUUCUGAUUAGUUGGACUCAUGCUAUACAGGUUAUUCAAUAUUUUGAAUAACAUCCUUGACUUAUAAAAUUGUAAUGGGAUAAUAGUUUAUAGUAUCAACCAAGGUUUGUUUGUUUGUUUUCUUUUUCCCUCAAGAAUCUCAUUAUAUUCCUGAUACUUCCUCAAUCAAUGUGUAAGAGCAUUCCAGCCUAUGGUAUUAGUCAGGAUAGGCCAGACUGUGCUGCAAUAAUAAACAGCUGCAAAAAUCUCAA